CGCGCAGGCGGCCAUUUAAGUUUGACGUGAAAGCUCCUGGCUUAACUGGGAGAGGUCGUUGGAAACUGAGUGGCUUGAGGCAAUGAGAGGGGUGCGGAAUUCCCGGUGUAGUGGUGGAAUGCGUAGAUAUCGGGAGGAACACCAGUGGCGAAAGCGGCACCCUGGCAUUGGCCUGACGCUGAAGUGCGAAAGCGUGGGGAGCGAACG
rnacentral:rRNA from 1 species